AGAAUCAACGCUGGCGGCGUGCCUAACACAUGCAAGUCGAACGCGAAAGUCCCGCAAGUGAUGAGUAGAGUGGCAAACGGGUGAGUAACACGUGGGUGACCUGCCUUCGAGCGGGGGAUAACGUCCCGAAAGGGACGCUAAUACCGCAUGACAUCCUGCCUUUGAACAGGCGGAGAUCAAAGCUGGGGAUCGCAAGACCUGGCACUCGAUGAGGGGCCCGCGCCUGAUUAGCUAGUUGGUGAGGUAAUGGCUCACCAAGGCUACGAUCAGUA
rnacentral:rRNA from 1 species